rnacentral:rRNA from 1 species
GACGAACGCUGGCGGCGUGCUUAACACAUGCAAGUCGAACGAUGAAGCCGGAGCUUGCUCUGGUGAAUUAGUGGCGAACGGGUGAGUAACACGUGAGUAACCUGCCCUUGACUCUGGGAUAACUGCGGGAAACUGUAGCUAAUACCGGAUACGACCCUCGGAGGCAUCUCCUGGGGGUGGAAAGAAUUUCGGUCAAGGAUGGACUCGCGGCCUAUCAGCUAGUUGGUGAGGUAAAGGCUCACCAAGGCGACGACGGGUAGCCGGCCUGAGAGGGUGACCGGCCACUCUGGGACUGAGACACGUGCCAGGCGGCUACGGGAGGCAGCAGUUGGGAAUAUUGCACAAUGGGAGCAAGCCUGAUGCAGCAACGCCGCGUGAGGGAUGCCGGCCUUCGGGUUGUAAACCUCUUUUAGCAGGGAAGAAGCGAAAGUGACGGUACCUGCAGAAAAAGCACCGGCUAACUACGUGCCAGCCGCCGCAGUAA